AACACAUGCAAGUCGAACGAAUUACCUUCGGGUAGUUAGUGGCGCACGGGUGCGUAACGCGUGGGAAUCUGCCCCUUGGUUCGGAAUAACAGUUGGAAACGACUGCUAAUACCGGAUGACGACGUAAGUCCAAAGAUUUAUCGCCGAGGGAUGAGCCCGCGUAGGAUUAGGUAGUUGGUGUGGUAAAGGCGCACCAAGCCGACGAUCCUUAGCUGGUCUGAGAGGAUGAUCAGCCACACUGGGACUGAGACACGGCCCAGACUCCUACGGGAGGCAGCAGUGGGGAAUAUUGGACAAUGGGCGAAAGCCUGAUCCAGCAAUGCCGCGUGAGUGAUGAAGGCCUUAGGGUUGUAAAGCUCUUUUACCCGGNAUGAUAAUGACAGUACCGGGAGAAUAAGCUCCGGCUAA
rnacentral:rRNA from 1 species